AAGUCGUAACAAGGUUUCCGUAGGUGAACCUGCGGAAGGAUCAUUAACACGUAUCCAAACGUUAAACAACCCCGUGAACAUACAACCUGCUCUGGUCGCCCGCUCGCAUGGACAAGCCCAGUAAAUCAAGCCCCGGAAAGUUUUUGAUUUGGGACCUCUGUGCGCGUGAGAAAAACUGACAGCGAUUCAUAGAAGCGGUAGGUCAAGUGACACGGCGUCCCCAAGUGACCAGUGAAUGAAAGUGUCGCUGGAGCGUCAAGGACGACUCUUCAAGAUUGCUAGAGGUCGGCUUCCGUGUAUACUGAGCUUCUGUAAGCAUCCAUACGGAUGGGCAGGCCCCCCGAACAACUGUUAACAAUGGAUAUCUUGGUUCUC
rnacentral:misc_RNA from 1 species